UACGUAGGGUGCAGGCGUUAAUCGGAAUUACUGGGCGUAAAGCGUGCGCAUGCGGUUUGCUAAGACAGGUGUGAAAUCCCCGGGCUUAACCUGGGAACUGCGCUUGUAACUAGCAGGCUAGAGUGUGGCAGAGGGGGGUGGAAUUCCAGGUGUAGCAGUGAAAUGCGUAGAUAUCUGGAGGAACACCGAUGGCGAAGGCAGCCCCCUGGGCUAACACUGACGCUCAUGCACGAAAGCGUGGGGAGCAAACAGG
rnacentral:rRNA from 1 species